ACACACACACACACACACACACACACACACACACACACACCAGGCCACUGAGAACCAUAGGAGACACUAAAUCAGUGUGUGUUCGUCUUCACGGAGAUUUCUACCUGAGUAAGCAAAACGGUAUCAUAUUAAGCAUGAAAGGUUUAGGUGGUAGGAACCUGUAGUCUUUUUCAUGAAAGGUUUAGGUGGUAGGAACCUGUAGUCUUUUUCAUGAAAGGUUUAGGUGGUAGGAACCUGUAGUCUUUUUCAUGAAAGGUUUAGGUGGUAGGAACCUGUAGUCUUUUUCAUGAAAGGUUUAGGUGGUAGGAACCUGUAGUCUUUUUCAUGAAAGGUUUAGGUGGUAGGAACCUGUAGUCUUUUUCAUGAAAGGUUUAGGUGGUAGGAACCUGUAGUCUUUUUCAUGAAAGGUUUAGGUGGUAGGAACCUGUAGUCUUUUUCAUGAAAGGUUUAGGUGGUAGGAACCUGUAGUCUUUUUCUUGAAAGGUGGGCUCGGAUAUGAAGACUGGGUUUUACUACCACCUUCACCAUAAUCUUACCAGGUAGGCUAUCGACAAUACUUGAAUUUUACAACAACUUGGAAAGACAUGGUGGAAAAGAUGAUACAAUACAUAUUGGUGGUCCAAUGGUGGAGAUGCUGAAAGACAGAUUGGCCUGGUAAUCUCCUCUUGCACUGGGGCAGGGCGGGUCUCCUCUCCUCUGGUAUCCCACAGCGAGCCAAACAGUCCACUGGCCAUCAGUCCAGAGGAAAUCCUGUCCCCUUUAUAACAGCUAGCAGGCCAGAACAACACCGCCUCUACAAUAACAAGCAAACACCGCCUCUACCCUUCCCUAACCACACGUACAAACACUAUGAAUGCCUAAUGCUCCUCUGCUGGAGAAUGCUUUCAUGUGCUAGAACAAUAGAGAACAUUUUAGAGAUUAUAUAAUCAACAUAAUCUAGAAUCUGAGCCCUGGAUAUUCUAAAAUAGGCUACAUCCAAGAAUACCAACAUUCUAGAAGGCCAUUAUUGCCUUUGCCUUGUGUAGUCUGCACUGGGGCCAAUGUGUUCUGCUGUCAACCGGAAGAACUACUCAGCCUUUAGACUAAAGAAAGAAGGAGGUCAGAGCGAGGCAGACUAAAAUGGUGCCUGGAACGCCCACCAGAGCACUAGAGCUUACCCAAGAGCCUAUUUCUGAAGUGAAGUAGGCCAUAUAUUCCUGCCUGGGUACUGUAACCUUGAACCUGUCUGAGGACGGGAAGUGUGUGUGUGUGGAACAUCAGCGGGC